ensembl:lncRNA
AGACAGACCAGUAUGCCAUAGGAGGUACUGUAAGUAGCCUUUAAUUUACAGAAAGCAUCACAAUCCAAACAAACACACACACAUGCAUGCACACACACGCACACACACACACACACACACACACACACACACACACACACACACACACACACACACACACACACACAAAUAAUCUCUAGUAUUCACAACCUGGGAUAGAAGAAACAUUGUAAACAAAAAUCUGGGACCCUCAAAUUAGUAUGAUAUGUUAUAUUUGGUAUGGUAUUGGUAUGGUACUGUAUAUAUUCAUUUGUGGAUGUCCUUCACCCAUUUUGUACAUGUUUACGAAUUGCAAUUCGUACAAUAUGUUACUAAUGUUCAAUAUGUAUAUGUUAUGAUUUCCAAUUUGUUGUGGCUAACGUUAGCUAGGUGGCUAACACUAACAUCACCUACUGUCGGUGCUAGGUUAGGGUUAACGUUAGGAGUUAGGUUAAAGGGUUAGGGUUAGGAGAAGGGUUAGCUAACAUGCUAAGUAGUUGCAAAGUAGCUAAUUAACUAAAAUGCUAAAGUUGUCUGUGAUGAGAUUAGAACACACACCUUUAGGGUUGCUAGAUGUUUGUAUUAUAUGUAUGUAACCUGAUGUGAAAUGGCUAGCUAGUUAGCGGUGGUGCGCGCUAAUUGCGUUUCGAUCGUCACUUGCUCUGAGACCUUGAAGUAGUUGUUCCCCUGGCGCGAUGGGGUAACGAUGCUUCGCGGGAGGCAGUUGUUGAUGUGUGCAGAGGGUCCCUGGUUUGAGCCCAGGUAGGGACGGAAGCUAUACUGUUACAUGUACACCCAACCAUCCUCCUUUGGUUUUUGCCUUAAGUAACCUUCUUUCUUAUGCAACCAUACCAAACGUUACAUAUCAUACUAAUAUGAUUGUCCCGGAUGUUCGUUUACCACGUUAGAGCCUGGUAUUCAAAACAAAUGUACACUUUUUUUUUUAAUCAUCAUACAGUAUAUAAAUUAUAAAGAUAAAUCCUUAGGCUGUAUCCCAAAAUAGCACCCUAUUCCCUACAUAGUUCACUACUUUUGACCAGGGCGCAAAUAUAGUGCACUAUAAAGGGAAUAGUGCGACAUUGGGGAAGCAUACUUAGAAUCCAACAUAUCUGUACUGUACACCUUUAUCAUAAGUAUUUAAAGUAGAGGUCAAAGAGAGGGUAAUAUUCUGGAGAGAGAGAGAGACAGAGAGAGAAAUGUAGAGUUCCUUCAUUGCCACGUAUGUACCAUUGUGUACCGAUUCUACUAGAAGAAGAAGAUACUGAAAGACUGGAUGACGUCGCCACCCAGUGGCCAUACAAGCUCAUGGCAUCAUAGCGUCACUGCUCAUCUAUCUAUACAUACAUACUGUGUGUUCCAAAUCACACCCUAUUCCGUUUAUAGUGCAGAAAGUUUGCCCUAUGGAUCCUGGUCAAAAGUAGUGCAUUAUGAAAGGAAUGGGGUGUGAUUUGGAACCCAGACUAGUGCAUUAGAAAAGGAAUUAGGGUGUGAUUUGGAACACAAACUAGUGCAUUAUGAAAGGAAUGGGGUGUGAUUUGGAACACAGACUAGUGCAUUAUGAAAGGAAUAGGGUGUGAUUUGGAACACAGACUAGUGCAUUAGAAAAGGAAUAGGGUGUGAUUUGGAACACAGACUAGUGCAUUAGAAAAGGAAUAGGGUGUGAUUUGGAACACAGACUAGUGCAUUAGAAAAGGAAUAGGGUGUGAUUUGGAACACAGACGCACAGAGACUUUUCGGAGGAUAGUGUUGGAGAUAACCUGUUAGCUAUUUAUCUUUCUUUUCUUUCUUUCUUCAUUUUGUAUAACUCCCCUCCUCUAAUUCAAAAUGUUGGCUAUAGUGCCUGUCAUUAUAAGAUAUAUUACUUAGGCUUUAUUUCUAAAAAAUAUUCUCAAGAAUUUAAAAAAACAAAUUCUUAAUUCAAAAUCAGGAUUCUGGUGUUUCUUUUCACCUUCAAAAGUAGGUUGUAGUUUAAAAUGCAGUCAUUCCAUUGGAUGGCAGUGUUUGUCACUCAAAAUCAGCUGACAAAUGGCUAUGCCUAUAACUGACUGCCACAGGCCUGUGUUCAACAUAUGCCGUACUUGGGGCUCAGAGUUCUUUCUUAGGCCGGGAUUCAAUCCAAAUCCCAAUCUGCAUUUUAAAGGAUAUUUUACGAUUGAGCGGUUAACCGCCUUUAACCACCUCCACAACCACCUCAACAACUACCUUUAUAAGCAGCAUUGUUGGUGCUAUGAAUCAAAUGAUCUGCUCAGGAAAAUCUAUGGGUCCUAUCUUAGAACUAAUAUGAUGGAAACCCACACUAGCCCAUGCCUCCAAUCCAAUGUUUUUACAUUUGUGCAGAGUAGUGAACGAGUGUUCAGGAGAAAAGUAUGUAUUAUUGGGACGCACACUGGGUCCGAGCCUGUAAAAAGGGGGCCUAGACUUUAUCCUGGGCACAUAACUUGGUCGGGAGAAACUCCUGGCUCUACAUAUUCUAACCCGAUGAUCAUUCAACUACGGCAGUGUUUUAUGCUAUUGUGACAUCAUCGGUGUUGCCAUAGAAAUAGAAUCCCACUUGUUAAAUGGCUGCCGGUCCACCCAUUUCAAACCCAUUGAUUUGAUUGGGGAAUGUCCUUUCUAGUCAUUGUGCUUCUAUGGUCUCCUCCCCAACCUCCACUGUACUCUCUUAGAUUUAAAGGUGCCUGGAAGAACCUUUCAAGCUGAAAAAGAUUCCUGAAAGAACCCCUUUGAAAAGAGUCUUUGAGGAACCCAUAUGUAAAGGUUCAAACGUUUUGUGGCGGAAGAGAAUACAUUUAGAACCUUUUUAAUAAUAUAUUGUAGAGGUGGGCAGUCUCAGAUUGGAGGCGUGGCUUAUUGGAGGCGUGACUUUCAGAUAGUUAUUUGUGGUCACCCGUUAGUGUAAAUGUCAUUCCUGUUCAUCAUGUAAAGUUUGUACACUGCAAAUUAACAUGUUCCUUGAAUAUUUAUGUGUAUUACAUAUUCUAAUACUAACAUUGCUGAUUCCAUUCAGUAAUAAAGUGAUGAUUUGCAUAAAGCUGUUGAUGAACUCUGUUAGCCUCAUUGAAGCUACAAAACUGUCAGUGUUCAACUGUAACAUGUGAUGACAAUACAACAGAACGGAUGAACAGGAAUGACAUUUACUCUCACAGGUGGUCAAAAAAAUAUAGAUCUUAAAGCCACGCCCCUACUAAGUCACAUCUCCACUCCCGGUUCCUACAGGAACCCGUUGCUACAUUGAACCAUUGAAGCCAGGGUGUCAAACUCAUUCCAUGGAGGGCCGAGUGUAUGCUGUUUUUUAAAUAUUUUUUUUCAAUUAAGACUUGGACAACCAGGUGAAGGGAGAUCCUUACUAAUUAAUUACCUUAAUUCAUCAAUCAAGUACAAGGGUGGAGCGUAAACCCUCAGACACUCGAUCCUCUGUGGAAUGAGUUUAACACAUGUUUAUUAAAGCUUCCUCCAAGAACCCCUCAACUAACCAAAGGUGUAAAUAUGAACCAUUGACAAAAAAUGGUUACUCGAGGAUCUCCAGGGUGACUCGAGGAUCUCCAGGGUUACUCGAGGAUCCCCAGGGUUACUCGAGGAUCCCCAGGGUUACUUGAGGAUCUCCAGGGUGACUCGAGGAUCCCCAGGGUUACUCGAGGAUCCCCAGGGUGACUCGAGGAUCCCCAGGGUGACUCGAGGAUCCACAGGGUGACUCGAGGAUCUCCAGGGUUACUCGAGGGUCUCCAGGGUUACUCGAGGAUCUCCAGGAUUACUCGAGGAUCCCCAGGGUGACUCGAGGAUCCCCAGGAUUACUCGAGGAUCUCCAGGAUUACUCGAGGAUCCCCAGGGUGACUCGAGUCACCACGAAUUCUAAAUGUGUACUGUGAAAAACAACAUUCUGUUUCUAUGGAGUCGACCCCAACUUCUACUGUAACUGUAAAACAACAUUGUCUAGUUACAUCAUAUUAAAAGGCUUUAUUAUUAUUAUUAUUAUUAUUAAAAACAUACAGGACGUUUAGAUUGAAACCCCUGGCUUUGUCUCUAAUGACACCCUAUCUCCUACAUAGUGCACUACUUGUGACCUAUAGGGCUCUGGUCAAAAGUAGGUAUUUGGGAAAAAGGCCCUCACUCAGAGAAACAAAAUGGCGGGUGUUCAAUCAGGUGAGGCUGAAAUUCCAUAACAGAAUCCCUCUCAGUUUUCCCAAAUAGGAAUGUUCCCAGUCUGAAAAUUCCAGAAUUUUCCAAAAUGUAAUGGAAUUCCGGAAUUCAAAUUUUCUUAUUUUCUUGUCUUAACGUUCCGUCUGGAUCUCCAGUUCAUGUCUUUAUAUUUAGGAACUCUCUUUUUCAAUCAUGACCUUUGAACUGUUGACCUCUAACCUCUAAUUAACCUCUGAGCUCAGCCACUUACAGUCCAUCUGAGAGGUCUGAGACAGAUCCAUAGUUUCAGGGCUGUGUCCUGAUUUUCUACCUUUUUCCUAAAAGUGUGCACACUUCGAGAGAAAGGAGAGAUUGUUGGAACGUAACGUCAGCCUUCAUUAAUAGCAGUCUGUUCUGCUGGAGGUUUGGUGUAAGAAGCCGGCCUCUCGCCACAUCGUGCCCAGUAUCGGUGCAGUCUGCCUUGGCACGGUGUGGCUCUGGGGCCCCUUUGUGACUUGGAUUGGUAGUUGAGAGAAAAAAGACAGAGAGGUCGUGAGGGAGAGAGAGAGAGAAAUAGAGAGAGAGAAAUAGAGAGAGAAAGCGAGAGAGAGAAAUAGAGAGAGAAAUAGAGAGAGAGAAAUAGAGAGAGAGAAAGCGAGAGAGAGAAAUAGAGAGAGAAAUAGAGAGAGAGAAAUAGAGAGAGAAAGCGAGAGAGAGAAUAAGUAGAGGGAGAAAGACAGAGAGAUGGGAGAGAGAGAGAUGGGAGAGAGAGAGAGAGAGAGAGAGAGUAUGGCUUUUGUGUGUGUAUAACAUCACAAGUGAUUUAUCUCCGUAUCCCACCCUUUCUCUCUCUUUUUAUCCCUGUUUCGUCUGUGUUCAGCAAUAGACAGAGAAGAGCUCAGUAAUGUCUCUCUUUUCAUCCCUGUUUCGUUUGUGUUCAGCAAUAGACAGAGAAGAGCUCAGUAAUGUCUCUCUUUUUAUCCCUGUUUCGACUAUGUUCAGCAAUAGACAAGAGAAGAGCUCAGUAAUGUCUCUCUUUUCAUCCCUGUUUCGUCUAUGUUCAGCAAUAGACAAGAGAAGAGCUCAGUAAUGUCUCUCUUUUCAUCCCUGUUUCGUCUGUGUUCAGCAAUAGACAAGAGAAGAGCUCAGUAAUGUCUCUCUUUUCAAAUGGCACACUAUUCUCUAUAUAGUGCAGUGCUCAUGAACCAGGGUGGCCUUUGGGACGCAAUCUAUAUGUCUCUUUUCUCAACUCGUGUAUCUUGGUCAUGCCUCUAUCACCGUGUAUCAGAUUGAACUCUCCUCACACUGGGCUAAUGGUGCUGGUAACUUAAACAACGCAAACCCCGCUAACUCCUCCUCAAUUCCCCCCAACCCCUCCCCUAGCCCCUCGUCCUCCUCAUCCCCCUGUCCUCCAUCCGGCCUCCUCCUCUCUCUCUCUCCUCCCCUCCUCUCGUCCGUCACCAUCUCCUGAACGUGAAGCUUCAGCCCAUUCACAGCGCUCGCUGCCGUCUGCACGUUACAGUUAGCGUUGUUGGCGUAGCCGGCAUUGCCGUGGCCGCCGCCGUGGCCGUGGUUACCGUCGCAGCCGCCGUUGCCGCCAGCGAUGCCGUAGUUGCCGUGGUGACCACCGUUGCCGUUGCCGUGGUGGUGUGUCAGUAGCAGUGUUCCAUUUCCUCUCUUCUCCGUUAAUGGGAACCCUUCCGACAGCAAACUGCCACUGCUAGGUGACUGCGGCGUCGCCGAGGAGCCCAGCAAGUCCUGCCCUUUCUCCGAGGAAAGGGAGUGGUCUGGGUGGCGCUGGCCAAUCCCGCGUCGGCGGGACAGGAAGUAGAGAAGGAAUCCUCCGAGGGCGAUGCCCAGGCUGGAGGAGAGAGGGGAUCAGGGUGUUAAAGAGAGAUUUAGUUCAGUUUUGAGAGCAGCAAAGAGUGAGUGAAGAUGUAUGUGUGUGUACGUAAGUAUGUGCAUAUGCUUGCGUGCAUGUGUGUGUCCACGUGUGUGUCCACGUGUGUGUGUCCACAUGUGUGUGUGUGUUUAUCCUACACGAAGCAGAGCAUGUAGAUGGCCAGUAGGUGACGUCCUCCAGCCAUCGCCAUGGCGCCCCCAGCGCUGGGACCCUCCAGGGUGAGAUGGUAGGAGGCUCUGCGACAGACAGGACUCUCCUCCUUACCCUCUGGUCCACCCUCC